rnacentral:lncRNA from 1 species
AUCCUUCAUGCUGUCUUAAAAAUGCCUUCACAGUUGUUAAUGAUGCAAUCAAUUACUACACAAUCUGCUCUUCUAUAGUCAUUUACUAGUAGAGUUUUGGCGUCUCCAAUUACAAAUUCAACUUGUAUCGCGUUACCAGUAACUAUUUUGGCUUUUCUAAAUCCUUAAUUUCAAUUAUCGUUCAUACAUAAUGCAUACUAGAUCUGAUUAACUAUUUAUUUUAAUU